rnacentral:rRNA from 1 species
CUACGGGGGGCAGCAGUGAGGAAUAUUGCACAAUGGGGGAAACCCUGAUGCAGCAACGCCGCGUGGAGGAUGACGCAUUUCGGUGUGUAAACUCCUUUUAUGAGUCAAGAAAAUGACGGUAGCUCAUGAAUAAGCACCGGCUAACUCCGUGCCAGCAGCCGCGGUAAUACGGAGGGUGCAAGCGUUACUCGGAAUCACUGGGCGUAAAGGACGCGUAGGCGGGCUUGUAAGUCAGGUGUGAAAUCCUACAGCUUAACUGUAGAACUGCACUUGAAACUACGAGCCUAGAGUAUGGGAGGGGGAGAUGGAAUUAGUGGUGUAGGGGUAAAAUCCGUAGAUAUCACUAGGAAUACCGAAAGCGAAGGCGAUCUCCUGGAACAUUACUGACGCUAAGGCGUGAAAGCGUGGGGAGCAAACAGGAUUAGAUACCCGUGUAGUC